CUUUUAUUUUUUUCCACAAUUGGGCUGUCAGGGUCUUCAUUACUACUGCACUCAGUUCAUUAGUCAGUGGUUUAAAAUUCAUCUGAGGGGGUGAAUUUUGAGCCUGGGCUUUGCUCUGAGCUAGCCUAAGGAAGGUAUCUUGGGUUGGACUCUGGCAAGCAGUGGCAUGCUUAUCUUUCUAAGGUUAAUUCAGGUAAUUCAAGUGGAUUGUCUGCUUCAGUUUCAUUCUGCCAUAGUGGAGUGCCACACACGAGAUCAAAAUGAAGAGUAACAGAUUUUAAUUUUUUCCUCCCUACAGUUGCCAAUGAGGUAAAUCCUGAAAGCUGUAGUAUCUUCCUGCUUUCAUUGGCAGAAAUUUCAUUGACGGGAGCCGGCAGGGUAGCACGUGCAAUAGCGUGUAAUUGAGAGGAGACUCCAACUCCACAAGUCCCAGUGAGCACUUGACUACCCUUGUUCCCUGGACGAUUUGUAGGUGGAGGGAGAAAGGGUUGAGACAGGCAUGUUACUUGGGUUAUUCUAGGGGAAUGGGUGAUAUUCUCCUCCUCCUCCUCCCGAAUUAAUAAAUCUGUGCUUUAGCACUUCUGUGGGUAGUUUGCAAUAUGGACAAGUCUGGUAAAGUCUGAAAUAAACGUGGUGUCUGUUUUCUGGAGACAAAACUGAAUCCUUGGUUCUAUGUAUGUGCAUACUCUCUGCUGUAGAUACCGUGUAAUCCCUCCUGAAUCUCAACACGUGCUCACUUGCUCACUCUUACUGCAUUUCUUGUUCUUGCCUUUUCUGUCAUAGUGACUGUUAAGAACUGCAAUAAACUGGCAACAGCUAGGCGAAUAGAGCAUUCUUCUGAACAUAAGUUGUUUGAGACUGGAACAUGAACUAGAUACUGCUUGACUCUCUGAAAUUAAGGAUUAAUUAAAACAAAUAGACACUUGGUGCAAUGUGCUAAAUAGUUUCUAGUCUUGGUUUAGGAGAAAAAUAGGAGCAACCUUUUAAAGUUCUUAAGUUUGAGUUUGUUGGGUUUUUUUUCUUUAAAAUAUGGGGGAGAGGGGUUAGUAAAUGGAUUUAAAGGACUCUUUGGAAAUAACACGAGUUUUAAAAAGGUGUUCUAAGUGUUUGCAUAACUUUAUUUAUGUGAGCACCACUAUUAAAUUGGGCCUUCAGUUAGGAAGGGGUUACUCAGACAAAUAAAUUUGUAACAGGGAAUAAGUAUUUAGAAGACCCUGGCCUAUAAUUUGUAAGUUUGAAGACUAAAGUCUCCCAAGUCUUGUUUAUCCUAAUGCAGAUUAUUCAGGAAGAGACAUUAACAAUAAUCUGAUUUAUACAUACCUUUAUACAACUAAUUUGUAACUUGGUAAUGCCAAAGGCAGUUAUGAGUUUUUACAGAAAUGUAAUAAGAAAGAAACUUCUACUUUUGCAACAACUUAUAUUAAGUCUUGCUGGCACAUUAAUUGAGGAAAAAGGACACAGGAUGAAAAUUCCACUGGAAAAAGGUCAGGGAGGAACAGAAGAUGCCUCCUGAAGAAAAUGUAUCUCACUGAAGAUUUUCUUCCCUCUUUGCAAGAGAGGACUAACAGAAAUAAGGAGUAUAUAACUCUUUCACAAAAAGGUGGAUUUGGUGGGGGAAAACAUCUUGCAUCUCUGUCCUACUCCCUAUUAUAUACAUAUCUAUUGGAAGAUACUACAAAUUGAACCUGUGGACUUACGAUUUAAAAAGUGCAUUGGGGAAUAGUAGGAAGGCCUAGAAAAACCUUCUCAACAAGUGGUGUAACCUUCCUGACAGUCAGAAGGUUAGUAAAAGACACUGAUCAAAGCAGAGGAGUCAGUAACUCAAAGAAGUUGGUCUCAGCAAGCGAGGAGUGUCUGAUACCACAGACUCCUUCAUAGGCACAAGCAUGGCUUCAAUAGAUGCUCUUCUAGACACAGAAGCUGAUGAUGCAACUGGUAGGAUCCUCUUUUAUUUAAUGUACUUGACUUGUAAUAAGUUUAAUAGUUCUGGUCUGUUAUUUCUUUUAUGGUGGCUUGUAAUCCAAGAGUUGCCUGACACCAAUUCAGUCCUGAUGGGAAUAGCUGCAAUUUAAAGCUGACCUACACAAAGACUGAAUUUGGUUUAUGAUAUCUGUAAUCUUUUAACUUUGAAACAAAGUUCAAGGGAAACAUUCAAGGCAUAAGGAUUUUAAUGACCAUAUCUCAGUAGCAUAUUCAUGCAGCUUGAACCUUAAACUGUUGUGCUUUCUUUAAUAACUAGUUUUUAAAAAGAAUGAGAACAGAUUGUUUCAGAAAGAAGUUUUGUGUAAAUCCUUGUCUCAUUUACCAUUAUAAAUAUUCAUAGAUCAUUCAGCAGAUCCACCCUGGGAAGAUGCAAUUACUACCCAUAGGGAAGGUGUAUUAAAAAACUCUUGGUACUUUUAACAAGUGGAAUUUUUAUUUGAAACUGUCAACAUCAAAUCAGAGCAUCUCAGAAAACCGAGGAGCUCGUUUAAGUGAUUUGUGUAAUAGUCCACUCAAAUGUGGUGAUUGCUGGUAUCCUUAUGCCUUUGUUGUUACCCACACCAAGAAAAACAAUGCAUCAAGAACAAGGUGAGGGAGCAGUUCUAAGUCUUGGACUGUGGAGAUUAGUUUUCUGGUAGUGACAUUAAAAUGUCAACACACACCCGUUCUUUUUGGUGACAGGCGGAUUUGGGUACUCAGUGAUUGCAGGGCUGGACCAUUCUUAAGGUCAAUGAAGAAAGUUUUCUUGAAUGGUGAACCGUGGACUUCAUUUUGUGCCCUGAGAGACUAUGGGUAGUCCGACAAAGACUUGACUCAAGGAAGAGAACUUAGAAGAUCAAGUUAUAGCACAAAUUCAGGGCUCUGAUAAAAACUGAGAUGUUGAUGGCAAUGAACAUUAUUUCAGAAAUUAAUAACUUCCAGUAUUAAAUGGUAAGCUGUUUGGGAGAAGGGAAAAUAUCUAGAGGAGAUGCUGAAUUUUGCCAAUUGUUGAACAGAACUGAGCAUAAAAAUACAGUUUCAAUAAAGUUGUUCCUCAGACUGGU